UGGGGAAUAUUGCACAAUGGGCGCAAGCCUGAUGCAGCCAUGCCGCGUGUAUGAAGAAGGCCUUCGGGUUGUAAAGUACUUUCAGUCGGGAGGAAGGUGUCAAGGUUAAUAACCUUGGCAAUUGACGUUACCGACAGAAGAAGCACCGGCUAACUCCGUGCCAGCAGCCGCGGUAAUACGGAGGGUGCAAGCGUUAAUCGGAAUUACUGGGCGUAAAGCGCACGCAGGCGGUUGAUUGAGUCAGAUGUGAAAUCCCCGGGCUUAACCCGGGAAUUGCAUCUGAUACUGGUCAGCUAGAGUCGUGUAGAGGGGGGUAGAAUUCCAUGUGUAGCGGUGAAAUGCGUAGAGAUCUGGAGGAAUACCGGUGGCGAAGGCGGCCCCCUGGACAAAGACUGACGCUCAGGUGCGAAAGCGUGGGGAGCAAACAGG
rnacentral:rRNA from 1 species